GGGAGCGUGCCCGAGUAAGGACUACCUUGAUAGAGUAGACACGGAGCCGAACACUCCCGCCUCCC
rnacentral:tRNA from 1 species